rnacentral:rRNA from 1 species
GAUGAACGCUGGCGGCGUGCCUAAUACAUGCAAGUCGAGCGAACGGACGAGAAGCUUGCUUCUCUGAUGUUAGCGGCGGACGGGUGAGUAACACGUGGAUAACCUACCUAUAAGACUGGGAUAACUUCGGGAAACCGGAGCUAAUACCGGAUAAUAUUUUGAACCGCAUGGUUCAAAAGUGAAAGACGGCCUUGCUGUCACUUAUAGAUGGAUCCGCGCUGCAUUAGCUAGUUGGUAAGGUAACGGCUUACCAAGGCAACGAUGCAUAGCCGACCUGAGAGGGUGAUCGGCCACACUGGAACUGAGACACGGUCCAGACUCCUACGGGAGGCAGCAGUAGGGAAUCUUCCGCAAUGGGCGAAAGCCUGACGGAGCAACGCCGCGUGAGUGAUGAAGGUCUUCGGAUCGUAAAACUCUGUUAUUAGGGAAGAACAUAUGUGUAAGUAACUGUGCACAUCUUGACGGUACCUAAUCAGAAAGCCACGGCUAACUACGUGCCAGCAGCCGCGGUAAUACGUAGGUGGCAAGCGUUAUCCGGAAUUAUUGGGCGUAAAGCGCGCGUAGGCGGUUUUUUAAGUCUGAUGUGAAAGCCCACGGCUCAACCGUGGAGGGUCAUUGGAAACUGGAAAACUUGAGUGCAGAAGAGGAAAGUGGAAUUCCAUGUGUAGCGGUGAAAUGCGCAGAGAUAUGGAGGAACACCAGUGGCGAAGGCGACUUUCUGGUCUGUAACUGACGCUGAUGUGCGAAAGCGUGGGGAUCAAACAGGAUUAGAUACCCUGGUAGUCCACGCCGUAAACGAUGAGUGCUAAGUGUUAGGGGGUUUCCGCCCCUUAGUGCUGCAGCUAACACAUUAAGCACUCCGCCUGGGGAGUACGACCGCAAGGUUGAAACUCAAAGGAAUUGACGGGGACCCGCACAAGCGGUGGAGCAUGUGGUUUAAUUCGAAGCAACGCGAAGAACCUUACCAAAUCUUGACAUCCUUUGACAACUCUAGAGAUAGAGCCUUCCCCUUCGGGGGGGCAAAGUGACAGGUGGUGCAUGGUUGUCGUCAGCUCGUGUCGUGAGAUGUUGGGUUAAGUCCCGCAACGAGCGCAACCCUUAAGCUUAGUUGCCAUCAUUAAGUUGGGCACUCUAAGUUGACUGCCGGUGACAAACCGGAGGAAGGUGGGGAUGACGUCAAAUCAUCAUGCCCCUUAUGAUUUGGGCUACACACGUGCUACAAUGGACAAUACAAAGGGCAGCGAAACCGCGAGGUCAAGCAAAUCCCAUAAAGUUGUUCUCAGUUCGGAUUGUAGUCUGCAACUCGACUACAUGAAGCUGGAAUCGCUAGUAAUCGUAGAUCAGCAUGCUACGGUGAAUACGUUCCCGGGUCU